AUGCAAGUCGAGGGGCAGCAGGUCUGUAGCAAUACAGAUGCUGGCGACCGGCAAACGGGUGCGGAACACGUACAGAACCUUCCUUCGAGCGGGGAAUAGCCCAGAGAAAUUUGGAUUAAUACCCCAUAGUAUAUUGGAGUGGCAUCACUUUGAUAUUAAAGAUUUAUCACUUGAAGAUGGCUGUGCGGCUGAUUAGGUAGUUGGCGGGGUAACGGCCCACCAAGCCAGCGAUCAGUAACUGGUGUGAGAGCACGACCAGUCACACGGGCACUGAGACACGGGCCCGACUCCUACGGGAGGCAGCAGUAAGGAAUAUUGGUCAAUGGACGCAAGUCUGAACCAGCCAUGCCGCGUGGAGGAUGAAGGUCCUCUGGAUUGUAAACUUCUUUUAUAUGGGACGAAAAAAGGCUUUUCUAAGUCGUCUGACGGUACCAUAUGAAUAAGCACCGGCUAACUCCGUGCCAGCAGCCGCGGUAAUACGGAGGGUGCAAGCGUUAUCCGGAUUCACUGGGUUUAAAGGGUGCGUAGGUGGGUUGGUAAGUCAGUGGUGAAAUCCCCGAGCUUAACUUGGGAACUGCCAUUGAUACUAUCAGUCUUGAAUACCGUGGAGGUUAGCGGAAUAUGUCAUGUAGCGGUGAAAUGCUUAGAUAUGACAUAGAACACCAAUUGCGAAGGCAGCUGGCUACACGAAUAUUGACACUGAGGCACGAAAGCGUGGGGAUCAAACAGGAUUAGAUACCCUGGUAGUCCACGCCCUAAACUAUGGAUACUCGACAUCAGCGAUACACUG
rnacentral:rRNA from 1 species